ACAAGAAUGGAGGUGUGGCCUACAGGUGGGGAGACUCCUGACCUCAUCUCUGUCCUCGCGUCACCAGGGAAACCAAGCUUGCUAAUGAGGGUGACGAUGCAUGCCAAGACAACAGCAUGAGGGAACUCUAACCGACGUCAGUGAAAGCGAAUCCAGGCAUUCUGCAUUCCCGGCCUCCUAAUUACAGUUAAGCCUCGCUCUCACAGAGCUCUACUCAACUUUCUCCCUGUUCCCCACAGCUGUACCCUCUGAAGUGCUAAUGGUUUACAAGAUCAUGGCUUCAAUCUGGAGUUUUUGAUUAGAUUUAUUGCGGCAAAGGGCGAACCCAAGAAUAUAGUGACAGAUGUGUACGUGUAUUACUGAGUGUCACUAUUUUAAAUCAGCAACUCAACCACAUUCAACACCUGAGCGUCAGCGGCUCACAGGUGUUUGGUUAGCAGCGGUUGGUCUGUGAUCAUUCGCAGCGGGCCGCGGCGCUGCAGGAGCAGAUGUGCAGUGCUUGAGAGAAGCAGGAGCAGCAGGAGGUGAUGAAGGAGUCCAGGCUCACCUCACACAUCAUCUCACCUGUGUGUCACGCUGACAGCUUAACAACAGCAGUGCAACAUAACACUGUACUGUACAAAACACUCCACAGGUUUGGAGUUUUUCAUGCACAGUACAUUUGUCCUUCAUUUUUCCACAGUACAUUUCUUGCUUCCUCACUCUGAUAUUUUUGUACAUUUUAAUUAGAAUAUUGGUCAGACGUUUGGGGUCUUUUUGAAAGAAAUUAAUACUUUUAUUCUGCAAGGAUGCAUAAAAUUGAUUAAAUGUGACAAUAAAGUUAGGGCGUAGGUUUGAUUUUGACAUUGGUUAGGACAUAGCAGCAGACAACACCCCCCAAAAAAAAGUAUUUUAUAAAGUCUUUAUUUAUAGCUAUGCUAGCUAACCUACUCAUACAUUAUAAAGAGUUUUGUUAACAUAUUCAAUAGACAAUAAUUACAUAAUUUUGAUUAUGUAAAACCAACAACAUUAUAGCAGCAGUUUUAAAGAUGUUUUCUUUGGACUGUUUGAUUGCUCAAAAUAGAAUAUAGCUAAAUAUAA